GAUCCUGGCUCAGGAUGAACGCUAGCGACAGGCUUAACGCAUGCAAGUCGAGGGGCAGCAUGAGGUAGCAAUACCUUGAUGGCGACCGGCGCACGGGUGAGUAACGCGUAUGCAACCUGCCCGAUACCGGGGUAUAGCCCAUGGAAACGUGGAUUAACACCCCAUAGUACUUUUAUCCUGCCUGGGAUGGGAGUUAAAUGUUCAAGGUAUCGGAUGGGCAUGCGUCCUAUUAGUUAGUUGGG
rnacentral:rRNA from 1 species